rnacentral:tRNA from 1 species
ACAUUUAUAGCUUAAUUGGAUAAAGUAUCAAGCUUCGAACUUGAAAAUAAAGGUUCAAUUCCUUUUAAAUGUA